rnacentral:rRNA from 1 species
AAGAUUAAGCCAUGCAUGUCUAAGUAUAAGCAACUAUACGGUGAAACUGCGAAUGGCUCAUUAAAUCAGUUAUCGUUUAUUUGAUAGUACCUUACUACAUGGAUAACCGUGGUAAUUCUAGAGCUAAUACAUGCUAAAAACCCCGACUUCGGAAGGGGUGUAUUUAUUAGAUAAAAAACCAAUGCCCUUCGGGGCUCCUUGGUGAAUCGUAAUAACUUAACGAAUCGCAUGGCCUUGCGCCGGCGAUGGUUCAUUCAAAUUUCUGCCCUAUCAACUUUCGAUGGUAGGAUAGUGGCCUACCAUGGUAUCAACGGGUAACGGGGAAUUAGGGUUCGACUCCGGAGAGGGAGCCUGAGAAACGGCUACCACAUCCAAGGAAGGCAGCAGGCGCGCAAAUUACCCAAUCCCGACACGGGGAGGUAGUGACAAUAAAUACUGAUACAGGGCUCUUUUGGGUCUUGUGAUUGGAAUGAGUACACUUUAAAUCCCCCUUAACGAGGAACAUUUGAGAGGGCAAGUCUGGCCCAGCACCAAUAUCAAUAUU